AUUAAGGUGUCUGAUAAAAGUAAUAAACUGUAAAUUUAUUUAUGGGUUUACCCUCUUAAUA
rnacentral:tRNA from 1 species